GCCGUCGUAACUCAGCCUGGCCAGAGCGCCGACCUGGUACGUCGGAGGCCGCCGGUUCGAAUCCGGCCGUCGGCUCCA
rnacentral:tRNA from 1 species